rnacentral:rRNA from 1 species
GGAGUUAGCCGGUGCUUCUUCUGUGAGUGAUGUCCUUCCUGCCGGCUAUUAACCCGCAGGCCUUCUUCCUCACUGAAAGUGCUUUACAACCCGAAGGCCUUCUUCACACACGCGGCAUGGCUGGAUCAGGGUUGCCCCCAUUGUCCAAUAUUCCCCACUGCUGCCUCCCGUAGGAGUCUGGGCCGUGUCUCAGUCCCAGUGUGGCUGAUCAUCCUCUCAGACCAGCUACGGAUCGUCGCCUUGGUGAGCCGUUACCUCACCAACCAGCUAAUCCGACAUAGGCUCAUCCGAUAGCGCGAGGCCCGAAGGUCCCCCGCUUUCCCCCGUAGGGCGUAUGCGGUAUUAGCCUGGGUUUCCCCAGGUUAUCCCCCACUACCGGGCAGAUUCCUAUGCAUUACUCACCCGUCCGCCGCUCGCCACCAGGGAGCAGAAACUCCCCGUGCUGCCGCUCGACUUGCAUGUGUUAGGCCUGCCGCCAGCGUUCAAUCUGAGCCAGGAUCAAACUCUGA